UAGAUCAGCCGAUGAGAAA
rnacentral:misc_RNA from 1 species